rnacentral:rRNA from 1 species
UACGAAGGGGGCUAGCGUUGCUCGGAAUUACUGGGCGUAAAGGGAGCGUAGGCGGACAUUUAAGUCAGGGGUGAAAUCCCAGAGCUCAACUCUGGAACUGCCUUUGAUACUGGGUGUCUUGAGUGUGAGAGAGGUAUGUGGAACUCCGAGUGUAGAGGUGAAAUUCGUAGAUAUUCGGAAGAAACACCAGUGGCGAAGGCGACAUACUGGCUCAUUACUGACGCUGGAGGCUACGAAAAGCCGUGGGGAGCAAACAGG